AAGACGACGACGUUGAUAGGUCGGGUGUGUAAGUGUAGCGAUACAUUGAGCUAACCGAUACUAAUGAACCGUGAGGCUUAACCUU
rnacentral:rRNA from 1 species